rnacentral:rRNA from 1 species
CAACAAGACAGUGGCGGUCGAGAGAGAGUCAGCU